rnacentral:lncRNA from 1 species
UGCAAUACUUAUAACCAAUGAUGGGUGUAUUUUUAGACUCUUUAAUACUUUCUAACAAAGAUUGCUGAUAAAAAAAAAUUGGAUAAAUUUAUUUUAUCAAUUGUGUAGUAAAUGGUAGAAAUUCAAAUAUAAAUCAUCUAAAACUAUGUUUUAGGAUAUUUGUUUUAAUUAUUAUACAAGUUAAAUGUUUAUUAAUCUCAAAAUAUCCAAAUAAAUUUUAUUUAAAAUGCAUAGCCGUUUUAGACUCUUGAAUAGAUUUCCAUCAAUUAAAAACAUGAACCAAGAAACAAAGUUCAGAAAACAAUACUUUGGUUGUCUAAACAAGAGAGUUGUUUUUUUGUCAAUAGUUUAAAAUUGUGGUUUAUAACUAAGAACUCCUAAGAUUCCUUCAACAACAUGGAUAAUAGGAUGUGAAGAAAUUAAAACAUAAUUAAUAAAGCUAAAUAACAAUCUCUUCACAAUUCAAUUAUCAACUAGAACAAUUUAUUUUCCAAAGUACGUAUUAUGCAGUCAGCUAAUUCCAAUAGUUUGAAAUAAACUAAAAAUAAAAAUUUGAAUAUUAGUAUUAAUUUUGUUUUAAUAUUCAACUAUUUAAAAUAUAAAAUCACAUUUUACAUUUUUGAAAUUCUAUUUUGUAAAAAAAUGGCAUUGUUUUGAAAUAACUAAUUGUCCACACAAGGAAUAGUUUGAAUAGAACAUUAAGAAAUAUUCAAGGGAAUUUUGCAGGUACUUUCAUCUUUGUUGAUGCAAUAUAUACUGAUAUCAGUAUUUUAAAUUUUAAAAUGUUAAAGCAAUAUAAAUAGAGAUUCAAUUUUACUAGUAAUUUUUCCUUCACUUCUUCCUACCCUCCUAUUUUCAAUCAUUUUCUCCAAUAAUUCCCAAAUCUGAUUUUAAAAUGUCAUUUUUCUAUUUUAAACUUCUCCCAUAUAGAUAAUCCCAAAGUAUCUCAUUGUUAUAUAUAUUAACUACAAUUAAAUAAAGAAUCAGCAAUUGAGUCUUAUUUCAAACGUCCACUUCAAAACAAAAACACGGCACCCAAGAC